rnacentral:tRNA from 1 species
GCCCGAGUGGCGGAAUGGCAGACGCGGCGGUCUCAAAAACCGUUGCCGCAAGGCGUGCGAGUUCAACUCUCGCCUCGGGCACCA